rnacentral:rRNA from 1 species
UACGGAGGAUCCAAGCGUUUAUCCGGAUUUAUUGGGUUUAAAGGGUGCGUAGGCGGCCUGUUAAGUCAGGGGUGAAAGACGGUAGCUUAACUAUCGCAGUGCCCUUGAUACUGAUGGGCUUGAAUAUACUUGAGGUAGGCGGAAUGUGACAAGUAGCGGUGAAAUGCAUAGAUAUGUCACAGAACACCAAUUGCGAAGGCAGCUUACUAAGGUAUGAUUGACGCUGAGGCACGAAAGCGUGGGGGAUCAAACAGG